CCUGGUGGCUCAGAGGGUAAAGCAUCUGCCUGCAAUGCAGAAGACCUGGGUUCGAUCCCUGGGUCAGGA
rnacentral:tRNA from 1 species